AAACUUUCAACAACGGAUCUCUUGGUUCUGGCAUCGAUGAAGAACGCAGCGAAAUGCGAUAAGUAAUGUGAAUUGCAGAAUUCAGUGAAUCAUCGAAUCUUUGAACGCACAUUGCGCCCGCCAGUAUUCUGGCGGGCAUGCCUGUUCGAGCGUCAUUUCAACCCUC
rnacentral:rRNA from 2 species